rnacentral:tRNA from 1 species
GCGGGUAUAGCUCAGGGGUUAGAGCGUCGCACUGUGGCUGCGAAGGCCGUGGGUUCGAGACCCAUUACCCGCCCCA